rnacentral:rRNA from 1 species
UACGGAGGGCGCAAGCGUUACUCGGAAUUAUUGGGCGUAAAGGGCGCGUAGGCGAUUCGAUAAGUCUCAUGUGAAAUCCCAGGGCCUAACCCUGGAAUGGCAUGGGAUACUGUUGGAUUUGAGUUCCGUAGAGGAAGGCAGAAUUCCCGGUGUAGCGGUGAAAUGCGUAGAUAUCGGGAGGAAUACCAGUGGCGAAGGCGGCCUUCUGGACGGAUACUGACGCUGAGGCGCGAAAGCCAGGGGAGCAAACGGG